GAUGGAGUCGACGACUCUUCGGAGUUAGUGGCGGACGGGUGAGUAACACGUGGGAACGUGCCUUUAGGUUCGGAAUAACUCAGGGAAACUUGUGCUAAUACCGAAUGUGCCCUUCGGGGGAAAGAUUUAUCGCCUUUAGAGCGGCCCGCGUCUGAUUAGCUAGUUGGUGAGGUAAAGGCUCACCAAGGCGACGAUCAGUAGCUGGUCUGAGAGGAUGAUCAGCCACAUUGGGACUGAGACACGGCCCAAACUCCUACGGGAGGCAGCAGUGGGGAAUCUUGCGCAAUGGGCGAAAGCCUGACGCAGCCAUGCCGCGUGAAUGAUGAAGGUCUUAGGAUUGUAAAAUUCUUUCACCGGGGACGAUAAUGACGGUACCCGGAGAAGAAGCCCCGGCUAACUUCGUGCCAGCAGCCGCGGUAAUACGAAGGGGGCUAGCGUUGCUCGGAAUUACUGGGCGUAAAGGGAGCGUAGGCGGACAUUUAAGUCAGGGGUGAAAUCCCGGGGCUCAACCUCGGAAUUGCCUUUGAUACUGGGUGUCUUGAGUAUGAGAGAGGUGUGUGGAACUCCGAGUGUAGAGGUGAAAUUCGUAGAUAUUCGGAAGAACACCAGUGGCGAAGGCGACACACUGGCUCAUUACUGACGCUGAGGCUCGAAAGCGUGGGGAGCAAACAGGAUUAGAUACCCUGGUAGUCCACGCCGUAAACGAUGAUUGCUAGUUGU
rnacentral:rRNA from 1 species